rnacentral:rRNA from 1 species
GCGCAGCAGGCACGAAUUUUUGACAAUGGGGGAAACCCUGAUCGAGCGACGCCGCGUGGAGGAUGAAGGUCUUCGGAUUGUAAACUCCUGUCAUUGGGGAACAAGGUGCAUACGUUAACUGCGUGUGUAUUGAUAGUACCCGAAGAGGAAGGGACGGCUAACUCUGUGCCAGCAGCCGCGGUAAUACAGAGGUCCCAAGCGUUGUUCGGAUUCAUUGGGCGUAAAGGGUGCGUAGGCGGCGCGGUAAGUCGGGUGUGAAAUCUCGGAGCUUAACUCCGAAACUGCAUUCGAUACUGCCGUGCUUGAGGACUGGAGAGGAGACUGGAAUUUACGGUGUAGCGGUGAAAUGCGUAGAUAUCGUAAGGAAGACCAGUGGCGAAGGCGGGUCUCUGGACAGUUCCUGACGCUGAGGCACGAAGGCCAGGGAGCAAACGGGAUUAGAUA